AGUGAACGCUGGCGGUAGGCCUAACACAUGCAAGUCGAACGGCAGCACAGUAAGAGCUUGCUCUUACGGGUGGCGAGUGGCGGACGGGUGAGGAAUACAUCGGAAUCUACUUUUUCGUGGGGGAUAACGUAGGGAAACUUACGCUAAUACCGCAUACGACCUACGGGUGAAAGCAGGGGAUCUUCGGACCUUGCGCGAUUGAAUGAGCCGAUGUCGGAUUAGCUAGUUGGCGUGGUAAAGGCCCACCAAGGCGACGAUCCGUAGCUGGUCUGAGAGGAUGAUCAGCCACACUGGAACUGAGACACGGUCCAGACUCCUACGGGAGGCAGCAGUGGGGAAUAUUGGACAAUGGGCGCAAGCCUGAUCCAGCCAUACCGCGUGGGUGAAGAAGGCCUUCGGGUUGUAAAGCCCUUUUGUUGGGAAAGAAAAGCAGCAGGUUAAUACCCCGAUGUUCUGACGGUACCCAAAGAAUAAGCACCGGCUAACUUCGUG
rnacentral:rRNA from 1 species